GAUGGCAGCCAGUCGGAGUUUGCUAAUUUGCAUAUGCAAGUCCUUUUGAAAUAUGAAACUUCUGUGUGGUGAUGAGGUUUUGCUCAUCUUGCUUCUGCUCAUCUUGAUUGAUUCAUCUCCAGUGAAGGGGUGUGCCUUUUGAUGCAUUCAUUUUCUCUUUCAUACAUGGUGUUCAUCUUUGUUUUGGAGAACAUCACCCUUGCUGAUGUUCACCUUAUCUAUGUAUGCAGGGGGCUUGUCCUUCCAUGGUGCUCAGCCACGGACAGAUUUGGAGGGAAAUAGGAGAUCCUGACGAAAAUGAGCAUGCUAGCGGUGGAUCCAAGGAUGCGUGGUGAUUGUGCCAGGUUUGUGCUCUGGCUCUUCUGUUGGGUAAGCUUCUUCACCCUUCUUGUCAAGGAGAUGUUCAUGUCUAGCUAGGUUCCUAUAAAGGGGAUUUUUUUCUUUCAGUUCAGCAGAUGCCGAGAUCUAGCUAGGCUUCCAUGUAGAAAUGUUGUUGUCUUUGAAAGUUUGUUGGGUGCCUCAGCUAAGUUUCUGCAAAGUGGAUUUUUGUUUGUUACUGCCCAGGAGAUGCUCUCGGAUCUAGCUAUAUUCCUAGAAGUUUUUUUGUUGGCUUUCUUGUUUUUUUGGUACCUUGAUCUUUCCUCGUCGAGAAGGAAUAAAUUUGUCCUGGAGUUCCUUUCCUCUUUAUAGAGGAGUCUUUUAUUCCUUUGCUUGAUCUGGCGCCUGGCAUGGGCAUUCGUUUCAAGUUGGGACGACAUACGAUCCAUGCAAGUGUAUGUAGUUGUUGUACGUAUGGCAAAUACAUCAUCUUGCCAAUUAGUCCCCACUAAAAUUAAUUUAUCUCUCCACCUUUUUGGCUCAUGGAUAUCGAUGCGAGUACUAUAGGUAAUUAACUGCUAGAGAUUACCACCCUCGAGUAGGUUUCUCUAAACAGACAAUAUAUGACGGUAUUUCUACUACUACAGGUUUUUCCAUGGUUGUAUAUGGCAUAUUAGCGUUAUUAGGAGCUGUGGUUCCGGAUUUUUUCGCUGCUCUAUAGAUCUAUUAUUUGAAGAACUGAUGAUAUACAGUGAGUUGCCUUGCACCAUUAUUUGGCCUUUCAAGCGCUUGAUUUGAAUUUUUUAAUGUAUUCAAAGUGUCCCUACUUCCUAACAAGCCACCCAUUUGUCAUGUGUAUGUGUUGUCAUCACAAAGUUGUUUUCUGCCCACCCGAAAAGCGCUCACCGAGCCAAUCACGUGGAGGUGUGCUUUGCAUAAUUAUCUUUAAUUGAAGUUCUGUUGUGUUGUCAUCAUAUUCAAAACUAUAGUUCUUUACUUGCAGCAUCUUGAAGUGAGCAAUAUUUCGAUGCUUAUUUCAUGAUGAUUUAAGAAGUUUCGUGCACUACCAAACUUAAUUUGAAAACACUAGCUUGUUUUGUAGGAAUUGUCCUUCUUUGCUUCGAACUUGUGAUUUAUGGCUGAUGUGAACUCCAUCUUUUAGGUGCUUGUCAAGUAUGGGUGGAAAGCUUGACAAGUCGUUUUAUCUCUAUGAUCUCCUCAUGACCACAACCGUAGUGCAGGAUGCUGCUGCCCAAGUUGUCGUUUAUCUUUGGGUAUUCCUUAAUGUUGGGGCUACUACAUAUCCAGAUCACUAGAUGAUACAAAGGUGUCUUCCCUUCCUUUGUUUAUAUUCCUUUAUGUUGGGGCUGGUGUUAGGUUCCACUGGAUCAAAUUUUAGCUGUUGUUUCUUAUGUUCUAGAGAAGCUAGAGGAGUAAUUAGUGUUCUCUGUUUUUCUAAUGAUUGUAUGUGUGGAACUAUGGAUGCAUACAAAUAGUAAAGGAGCAAUUAACUUUCUCUCUUUUUUGCAAGUAUAUGUGGAUGCGCAUAAAGUGUUGGCUGUCUGCUUAUAUCAAGUAUGGUCUGAUAUUUUGGUCAUAUCAGCCCCAGUAUUGAGCAUACCAACUGAUAUUCUGGUCAUAUCAGCCCCAAUAUUAAGCAUGCCAGUUGAUAUUCUGGUCAUAUCACACUUUCUACAGUCUACACCAAAUCUGCGAGCACGAUCUCUGAUAUUUGAAUCUUGAAAUUACCAUUAGAAAGGCAAAGAGAUCUUGUAGAAAAAUAGGUUACAUGCUCAGGUAUAUCAUAUAUGGAGAAAAGGCACUUAUCAGCUGUAUUGGUUCUUUAGUAUUUUUGUGCAGUCCUUCUAUUAAUUUUUCUAACUUUCUGGAUUUAUAUUUGAGCAAGAUAAAUAUAUUCCAUCUCUAUCCCAGUACAGAAUCGAAGCUUCAUCAAAUCUAUCUGGGCGUUCAUUGCGUAAUACAAUGUUGAGAUUGAGAACAUUUUCAUAGGGGAACUUAAGGUAUCACCUAAUGAUAUAAUAUUAGUCACUAUCCAUUGAUUGGUAAAUUUUGCUUUAGUAUACACCCCUUCAGGAUAUGGCUUUCAAUUCUAUACUUUUCUUUGAUUAUCAGUAUUGCUACAAGGAUAAUAAUCAUUUUUAUUGCAAAGUACGUACUACAUUAGACAAAUCAGCAUGUUUUCCCAUAUAAAUACAUGUGGCGCGAAAGCAGCGACAGUCAUGUUUGAAAGUGUGUAUUAUAAGAGUAUGUAUCUUAGUUAUUUUGGCGGUUUGAAAGCGUGUAAUAUAAGAGUAUGUAUCUUAGUUAUUUUGGCAUCGCCAUCCUUUACAUUAUAGGUUGUUUUGCAUAACAAACAAUGAUGUCUACAUAUGUAGAUUUGCAAGUUAAAUUCACCACACCUUUGAAACCCGUAGUUGUUUACUAUUCUCUUAAAUCUUUAAAAUGUGUGCUUCAUUCCUUUAAUUUCAGAACUAGGAGGGUGCAGAUAAGUAAGAGUUGUUGGCAGCAGCAACCUACACAUGUGGAAACAGUGGCUAUGGCGGUUCAAAGGGAAGUUGUGGCUGCUAGACAGCAACUCACAACUUAGUGGCGGCUCAAAGGACAUAUAAUCUAUUUCUUCUUGGAGCUAUCUACUAUCAUAUUAUGACUCAUUGCUAGCUGAAGCUUCUAUUUUCUCGCCUUUUGUGGUGGCGAUUAUUCCUUGGACUGCAGUAAUUCCAUUUGUAAGUAUCAUGUACUACAACCAUCUUUAUCUUUAGCCCCUGCACUUCAGUAUCAAAUUUGUGUGUAAGUGUAGGUUUUCUACUUGCUCCCUGAACAUUCCAUUGUUUUUCAUGUGCAAUUUUUUUAUCACCGGCUUCAACAUAGUUAAUUAGCAUGCGAGAGGCUCAACUGUAGCUUUUUGCAAUGCUAGAAGGCCAUAUUCAGUACUGAAAAUCUAGACUGUUCUUUCCACUCUGUAACAACUUCUAUGCUUGCGCCACCAUGAUAUCAUUACAACAUUUCCCUGUAAAAUUUUAUUAGUUACACGUAAACUGAAUUGAUUUACCAGUCAAAAUUUGUACAACUCAUUUCAGUUGAUAGUAACCAUUGUAGAAUUACCAGGAUAUGUCAUGUAUGUACUCUGAGUCGUAGCACGUUGCAAAAAGUACAGUAAGAGAUAGAUUGUAUGCACUAUGGCUAGCAGUAACAUUUUUCGACUUGUACAUCAUUCGAUCUAUCUAUUUCUACAGGCUAUUCCUCAUGUUGCAACCUUUUCCCGUAGAAUCAAAAGGAAUUAGAUGGAAGAAAUGGCAGGAGGUAUACUUCGUGUUCCAUUAGUCUUACUUUCGCAAGCAUGUCUAUAGUCUUAGUGUUGGAGGUGUGUCAAUAGUAGUAUCAAUUUUGGAGGCUUGUCUAUAUUAAUCUUAUUUUUUGGAUUAUGUUUCUUUCCAUCUGCAUCCUCUUCAUAAUGGAUUAGGUUACUUUGUUAUUUCCAUGUGAUACUUUUUCUUAUUACUGUGAUCGUCAGUGCUCUUAACAUUGGUUGUUCUUGCUUUACGACUGCCUUCUCAGCGCACUAUUAUUAGUUCUAAUACAUUAACUAUAAUAUGCUCGAUUGACCAUAUUAAUUAUAUAUUUCACUUCACCGGGGCUAUUGGUGGAAGUGUUGGUUAAAAUAUUUUGGUGGCGGUGUAUAAAACUAAUUGUUGUACACCAUUAUUAAGUGCGCUUUUGAGCUUUGAGUAGACAAUUGUGGUCUUAAUUACUUUAAAGGAUCGUUAAUAUAUUACUGUCGCUUUCCAUGUUCAGUUAUUCACACUAUAUUAUUGCUUGAUCCUGAUAACUUGCUGUUAUUAGAGAAGGAAUGGUAUUCUCGGCUGACAUUCAAAAGCAGUCAAGAUGGUGAAGUUUAGAAUGGAGGAGCUCCGCGGAAUUAUGGAUAAAAAAUAUCCAUAACAUGUCUGUCAUUGCUCAUGUCGACCAUGGUAUGUGACGGAGCAGUGACAGUUGUCUCUAAUUGUCAAGUUUAUACGGUAGAAUCUUCUUGAUUGAUGAUUUUAUAGCCUUCUCUUAGUGUUGGAGGUGUGUCAUGUCUAUAGUCUUAGUGUUGGAGGUGUGUCAAUAGUAGUAUCAAUUUUGGAGGUGUCAUGUCUAUAGUCUUAGUGUUGGAGGUGUGUCAAUAGUAGUAUCAAUUUUGGAGGCUUGUCUAUAUUAAUCUUAUUUUUUGGAUUAUGUUUCUUUCCAUCUGCAUCCUCUUCAUAAUGGAUUAGGUUACUUUGUUAUUGCCAUGUGAUACUUUUUCUUAUUACUGUGAUCGUCAGUGCUCUUAACAUUGGUUGUUCUUGCUUUACGGUUGCCUUCUCAGCGAACUAUUAUUAGUUCUAAUACAUUAACUAUAAUAUGCUCGAUUGACCAUAUUAAUUAUAUAUUUCACUUCACCGGGGCUAUUGUUGGAAGUGUUGGUUAAAAUAUUUUGGUGGCGGUGUAUAAAACUAAUUGUUGUACACCAUUAUUAAGUGCGCUUUUGAGCUUUGAGUAGACAAUUGUGGUCUUAAUUACUUUAAAGGAUCGUUAAUAUAUUACUGUCGCUUUCCAUGUUCAGUUAUUCACACUAUAUUAUUGCUUGGUUUUGAUAGCUUGCUAUUAUUAGAGAAGGAAUGGUAUUCUCGGUUGACAUUCAAAAGCAGUCAAGAUGGUGAAGUUUAGAACGGAGGAGCUCCACGGAAUUAUGGAUAAAAAAUAUCGAUAACAUGUCUGUCAUUGCUCAUGUCGACCAUGGUAUGUGACGGAGCAGUGACAAUUGUCUCUAAUUGUCAAGUUUAUACAGUAGAAUCUUCUUGAUUGAUGAUUUUAUAGCCUUCUCUUAGUUGUACUAUAUUAAUCCUUAAAACUGGAUCAUUUAAAAUUAGUUAGAUUUAAUGAGUUGUUUCAUUGUUUUCAAAUAAGUAGUUUAAGCCCUUAUUGUGUCCUGGAGCUUAUUCUUUCUAUCUUUUUAUGAUUGAUAUAUGCUCUAACAAGCUUAAAUGUAACUAUUGGCAUAUAAUCUCAUGGCUCAAAAUCUUAGUUGUUGAAUUAUUAAAAUUUAUAAGAUCUGGAGUUUGCACUAUAUUUCAUCCUGCAGUAUUCCCAGUAACCGAAUAUUAAGAGCACUGACGAUCCCAGGUUGUACAUUCGGGAAAUGCUUUUAUCUUGCAGGCCAGUUUUACAUUUACUUCUUCGAUAAGGAGAUGACCAUGAACAGAGUAUCAUGGUAUUUGCCUUGGCAUUACUGAUGUUGUGUUCAGAUUACUGAAGGAUUGGUAGCCGCAAAGGAGUGAAGGGUAGAAAAUAUGUCCAUUGUCAUUGAAUUGGUGGGAUUGUCCCCAAGUUAGUGCUGCAGAUGUUUCUAUUUUAGAGCAAGAAGCCAAAUCAUGCUGUUCAUUGUAAAUCUUGAAAAGCUUGUUUAUUGUCACUUCUAUAUCUGUUGUAAAUGUUUAUUCAUGAUGUGGUACUUGUCAAUCUUGUUUUGCCCUUCUUUUUCAAGUUUGCCUUAAAUUUUAGCAGACCAACAAGUCCUUGUUUCUUCAAUUGGUUUCUCAUUUCAUGUUUGCACUUGUAUUAUAGUAGAACAACAUGUCAUAAACAUGGCGUUCGGCAUUGUUUGUCCAGUUCCCUUCAAGAAAGAAGAGAUGGCUAUAGAGAGUGGCUCCAUCACUGAAGAGAUGAAAAAUGUUGUGCAAGGCAUUGUUUGUUAAGCUCCUUUUAAAAAAUAAAGUAAUUAUUGUGCAUCUAGCAUAUAAAGGGGUUGUGAAGGAC
rnacentral:lncRNA from 1 species